rnacentral:rRNA from 1 species
CCAUUAGAUGUCCUGGGCCGCACGCGCGCUACACUGAUGCAUGCAACGAGUUUAUAACCUUGGCCUGAAAGGUCUGGGUAAUCUUUUGAACGUGCAUCGUGAUAGGGAUAGAUUAUUGCAAUUGUUAAUCUUGAACGAGGAAUUCCUAGUAAACGCGAGUCAUCAGCUCGCAUUGAUUACGUCCCUGCCCUUUGUACACACCGCCCGUCGCACCUACCGAUUGAAUGGUUCGGUGAAGAUCUCGGACUUCGAUAUUUAUUCUUUAUUGAGUUUAUAUUGUGGGAAGUUAUCUAAACCUCAUCAUUUAGAGGAAGGUGAAGUCGUAACA